GUGAGCAAGCUGCCAGGGAAGCAGCCAGGGUGGCAAGGGAGCCCCAGGCUUCUCCCAGGAGGCGCAUGCCCUGGUCUGUGCGUGACUGGGUGCUGUGGCACCUGUAUGUUGUUUGGCUUCUGGAGAGCUGCCCAGGUGGACAUGGCUGGGCUGAUUGGUUUGGUUCAGUUCGUGCUGAACUGCCAGUACUGGCUGGGAGUGGGCAGAGAUGCUGAUCCCCCACCCGCCAUGCUGCCAGGCAGGGCCUGGGGAAGGGCCAGGAAUGCCCGAUAACUGUGCCCACCUGGUCCCCUCAGCUUGCCAUCCUCUGGCCUGUCGGGUCCUUCCUCUACGGAAUUCCAUCCUCUGCUAGCUGGUCUUUCGCGAAGCUGGGCCAUGGGGCAGGAGGGCCCUGGGCACCCCCGCCAGGACUGCCCUUGCCUGUGCAGAUGCAGGGCUCGUCAGGCCAGGCUGCAGGCCAGCAUCUUCUCCCCAAGAAGGCUGGUUACUAAUGGAUGCGCACAUGGAGUGCACAGGUCAUGGGCAGGCACCUCAUGAGUGCCCGCAGUGAGCAUGCCCAUGGGGCCAGUGCACAGGCGCAGGGACCGCAGCCCCCAGAGCCUGUCCCGGGUGGGGCCCACACAGGCUGCGGCACCCCUGGGCUCUGUGUACAGGCUGCCCAUGCAGCGCUGCUCUUCCUUCAGGAAGUGUUCCCAGGCGGGUGUCCCCACGCUCGUGCCCUUCCCAGAGUUCCAGGAGGAGUUGUGGCCUAUGGCCACAGCAUCUGUCAGUGUCCGCCGGGGCUGCUGGGUUGUGGGGUGUUCUCUUCAAUUUAGUAGGUGGUGUCCUGGUUUUCCCAAGUGUGCCCCCAGCAGCAGUGCCCGAGCAGGUGGCGGCCCUGCAGCCUGCAUGCACAUGGGCCUGUGGGCCUUUGUCUCAUUCCUCCCACGCUGGUGUAGGCAGUGUUUCCCAGGACUCUCCUGUCAUCUUCCCGGGCUCCGAGGCCGACCCACUUUGGCAUGUCUCUUGUAUAUAUUCUGGCGAUCCUCUGUGGUGGGGGCCCUGUGGUGUCUUGGAGCAUGUACGUGCUCUGCUUACAAGCCUGUUGAAUGGCUCCUACUCUCUUUGUUCCCCAUAGUACCUGACAGCAGACUGCCUGGGCUCCCUAGAGAUCCCCUUGCCGCCCUCUACGGGUCUUGAAGACACACUGCUGUGUGAUGUGCAGUGUCAGGCGCAUGUUUGGACCAGAAGCCCACGUGGUAUCAGCGUCUGUGAAUCCAUCUGCCUUGCAGUUUGAUUUGCCUCUUCUGGAAAUGCUGGGGGUUGGGGGAGCGUGCCUGCAGGGCAGAUUGGGACACACCACCACACAGCCAUGGCAUCCACAUACUGAGCCCUGUGCGGGGCAGCCCCCCACCUCUGCCCACUUAGGGGUCCCCACGUGGUUUGGGCAGUCUUAGCUUCUGUGGGACUUAAUGUGCCUGAGAACAAACCCGGGAAACCAUGGGCCACCAGGAUGUCACCGUCUCUUGAUUGGACUUCACCCAGCCAAAGAGCAGGUGACCAGAUGGAAGGGAGAGCUUACAAACACCCGAGGGAAGUGUGUGGUCACCUACUAUUCAUACAGUUCCCCGUCCAUCCUGUACCUUCUCCAGGUGAGGUGUUGCCUGCCUGAUUCAGAGGGGCUCGUGGGGUGCCCUGCCCUCCUAAAAUCCUGCUGCGGUAGUGAAAGGCAUGGCUCUGGGUGCUAGUGUCUGGUGACACUUUUAUCAGCCCGUUUGACCCUUGUAGUAGCUGUGGGUCAGGGUCCCUACUCCCCUGAGCUGUAAGGCUGAACUUGGGUGCAGGCAGAAAGACUGGCACUAGGCUGAAACAUUGGGAAGCCUGGGAAGGCACCUGGCAGGCUGAAACUAGAGGGAAUUCAGGCAGGCGCUGUCCCAGAGCCUGGCAUCAUGGAUGUGUGUGGGUGGCUGUGUGUGAGAAAUGCUCCAGACAGGAGUGGUCAGUGCAGAGGCCUAGGGGGAGUGGCUAACAAGUUCAAGGGCAGCCUGAGGUGGGGCAGCAGGGGCAGGGGUGAUGAGCUGGCCUGCAGCAAGGGCAGGGUGGUGGGUCCUUGAAAGCUCCUUGUUGGGAGGCCAGGCCCUAGAGCACGCCUGUGGCUUGGGCCCUGCCCUGGGGCACCACCUUGGGUCUGGAGCAGCCUCUAGGGGUUUGGCCUGUCUUCCCUGAGCCUCUCCUGCAGGCACCACCAGGGUAGGGAUGUCAGCUUCCAGAAGCCCUCCUGGACCCUUUUCCUGUACCUUCCUGUCUGGCUGCCACCCCCACCCCCUAGCUACUUGCUUCAGCGCCUCUCCCCAGGGGACUUCCUGCACACUCCAGCCACGGAGCGCUGAAGACUAUUCCAUUGUCUGUGUGGACCACAGUUUACUUACCCAUCACCUACUGAAGGACAUCCUGGUUGCUUUCAGGUUUUGGCGAUGAUGAAUAAAGCUGCUGUGAACAUCUGGGUGCAGGUUUUUGAGUGGAGAUAAGUUUCAACUCUGGGUAAAUCUUAAGAGUGUGGUUGCUGGAUCAUAUGGUAAAAGUAUGUCAAGUUUUGUCAGAAACCACUGAACUGUCUUCCAGAGUGGCAGUGCCAUGCUGCAUCCCCACCAGCAAUGAUGAGAGUUCCUGUUGAUCCACAUCCUCACCAGCAUUUGGUGGUGUCAGUGUUUGGAUUUUCACCCAUUCUAAUGGGUGUGCAAUGGUAUUUUGCUCUUCUAAUUUGUGUUUCCCUGAUGAAAUGUGGAACAUCUUUCCACAUGCUCAUUUGCCAUUGGUAUGUAUGUUUUGAUAAGGUGUCUUUUCAGAUCUUUCACCCAUUUUCUAUCUGUGGUUCUUUUUCUCCUGAGUUUUAAAAGAGUUCCUUGAACUUAUUCAACAGUGUGUUAUUAACUGACAUUGUGCAGAUGACAUCUAAUGGCUUAUUGUGGUGACUACUUUGCAGUGUGUGCAUGUGUCCAAAUGCUGAAUCACUGCUGCACACCUGAAAUCAAUACAGUAUUGUAUGUCAGUUUUACCUCAGUAAUAAAAGAAUGCUUUUUAUA